GGAGACGUCGCAUAGCCCGGUCGAGUGCGCCUCACUGCUAACGAGGUAAGGGGUAAAACCCUUCAAGAGUUCAAAUCUCUUCGUCUCCGCCA
rnacentral:tRNA from 3 species